rnacentral:tRNA from 1 species
GUCACUAUAGUUUAAUAAAACGUUAGAAUGUGGACCUAAAAAUAGAAGCUUAACACUUCUUAGUGACC